GCUACAGAAAUCCUGCAUGGUGAUGCCAGUAAAUGGCACACAGCUUGCAUUGUUCACCAACCUGGCCAGGCUGGUGACGAGAGUGGUUAAAGAUUUAAUGCUGGUCCUCCAGGCCGCAGCAGAUCUCCGCCGAGUAGAAGACGGCUCUCUUCUCGUCGAAGCCUGCCUCUCCCAUGUGGUAGAUGUGAAACUUCAGGUCCCCUCCAUUCAUCAAUGUCAGCACAAGGCACAGGGCAUCCUUCGUCUCGAAGCCUCAAUCUUAACUCAAGCGCUUAAGGAAGGAUCGUGGUUCUUUUGGCCAUGAAGAGGAGGAGAGAAAAAACGUCUGUUCAAGGUUUGAUUUAGUGAAGACUGAAGAAUGUGAAGCAUCCCUGAGCAACAUCCUGAACACCUACGUUGUUCACUCGCGGUAAUUCUCACUGGAUGAGAGUGUCGAAAGGAGAGGAUAAAUACUUAGUGAGGAGCAGCAGAAAUGACUUCAUUGUUUCUUGUUUGUUUGGAUUCCCAUUAGUUGCUCUGUUCUUGUCCCAUGGAUUGAUUUAGUAAAGGAGGCUGACUGGUGGUCAAAUGAUCCAGUCAUACUGAACUCCAUCUGGACAGUGCGGUUUUAAAUGUAGCAGCUUGAAAUCAUUAUGUUGUAUUGCAUGUAUGCAUAACUCUGUUCAGCACAAUUAUUAUAGACUGUGCCUAUUUUUAGGAUGAGAUACAAUACCAGUUAUUGAUCCGAGGGAUGUUCAGUUUGCCAGUGCAGAAAACAAGCAGAGCGUCCCACGCAGCAGCAAACACAACACAGUGCAACAGGUUUUCUGUAUGCUGAACAGACGAUUCUUAUAACAGCUUUACUGUUGACCCAGGUCUGUUUCACUAAGAGGCAGGGUCACUUUUUUUUAUAUGCAUUAUGAUUACAUUUACAACACACAUUUUUUUGUGCCUUAGUUGAUUCGUGGUCCUUAAAUGCUUUCACAAGCAUUUCAACACACGA